rnacentral:rRNA from 1 species
CCUACGGAGGCUGCAGUGGGGAAUAUUGGACAAUGGGCGAAAGCCUGAUCCAGCCAUGCCGCGUGUGUGAAGAAGGCCUUCGGGUUGUAAAGCACUUUCAGUGGGGAAGAAAGCCUUGGGGCUAAUACCCUCGAGGAAGGACAUCACCCACAGAAGAAGCACCGGCUAACUCCGUGCCAGCAGCCGCGGUAAUACGGAGGGUGCGAGCGUUAAUCGGAAUUACUGGGCGUAAAGCGCGCGUAGGCGGUCUGAUAAGCCGGUUGUGAAAGCCCCGGGCUCAACCUGGGAACGGCAUCCGGAACUGUCAGGCUAGAGUGCAGGAGAGGAAGGUAGAAUUCCCGGUGUAGCGGUGAAAUGCGUAGAGAUCGGGAGGAAUACCAGUGGCGAAGGUGGCCUUCUGGACUGACACUGACGCUGAGGUGCGAAAGCGUGGGUAGCAAACAGGAUUAGAUACCCGAGUAGUC